UACGGGGGGGGGCAAGCGUUGUUCGGAAUUACUGGGCGUAAAGGGCGCGUAGGCGGCCUGCUAAGUCGGACGUGAAAUCCCUCGGCUCAACCGGGGAACUGCGUCCGAUACUGGUGGGCUCGAAUCCGGGAGAGGGAUGUGGAAUUCCAGGUGUAGCGGUGAAAUGCGUAGAUAUCUGGAGGAACACCGGUGGCGAAGGCGGCAUCCUGGACCGGUAUUGACGCUGAUGCGCGAAAGCCAGGGGAGCAGACGGG
rnacentral:rRNA from 1 species